UCCCCAACAGCUAGCCCCCCGCCCCAAACCCAACCACCCACAUUAAUAACCCCAAACACAACUAAAUUAAAAAACAAACCAUUUUUCCACCCUAGUAUAGGAGAUAGAAAAGGA
rnacentral:rRNA from 1 species